UAUAACCGGCGAUACCCGAAUGGGGAAACCCAGUGUGACUCGUCACACUAUCAUUAACUGAAUCCAUAGGUUAAUGAGGCGAACCGGGGGAACUGAAACAUCUAAGUACCCCGAGGAAAAGAAAUCAACCGAGAUUCCCCCAGUAGCGGCGAGCGAACGGGGAGGAGCCCAGAGCCUGAAUCAGCAUGUGUGUUAGUGGAAGCGUCUGGAAAGGCGCGCGAUACAGGGUGACAGCCCCGUACACAAAAGCGCAUGUGCUGUGAGCUCGAUGAGUAGGGCGGGACACGUGGUAUCCUGUCUGAAUAUGGGGGGACCAUCCUCCAAGGCUAAAUACUCCUGACUGACCGAUAGUGAACCAGUACCGUGAGGGAAAGGCGAAAAGAACCCCGGCGAGGGGAGUGAAAAAGAACCUGAAACCGUGUACGUACAAGCAGUGGGAGCACCCUUUGGGUGUGACUGCGUACCUUUUGUAUAAUGGGUCAGCGACUUAUAUUCUGUAGCAAGGUUAACCGAAUAGGGGAGCCGGAGGGAAACCGAGUCUUAAC
rnacentral:rRNA from 1 species